UGGGUUUGACAUGGAUCGGGAGUGCUCAGAGAUGGGUGUGCCUCUUUUGGGGUCGGUUCACAGGUGGUGCAUGGCUGUCGUCAGCUCGUGUCGUGAGAUGUUGGGUUAAGUCCCGCAACGAGCGCAACCCUUGUUCACUGUUGCCAGCACGUUAUGGUGGGGACUCAGUGGAGACCGCCGGGGUCAACUCGGAGGAAGGUGGGGAUGACGUCAAGUCAUCAUGCCCCUUAUGUCCAGGGCUUCACGCAUGCUACAAUGGCUGGUACAGAGAGUGGCGAGCCUGUGAGGGUGAGCGAAUCUCGGAAAGCCGGUCUCAGUUCGGAUUGGGGUCUGCAACUCGACCUCAUGAAGUCGGAGUCGCUAGUAAUCGCAGAUCAGCAACGCUGCGGUGAAUACGGUCCCGGGGC
rnacentral:rRNA from 1 species